rnacentral:rRNA from 1 species
UACGGAGGGGGCUAGCGUUGUUCGGAAUUACUGGGCGUAAAGCGCACGUAGGCGGUCUAUUAAGUCAGCGGUGAAAUACUCCAGCUUAACUGGAGGGGUGCCAUUGAUACUGAUGGACUUGAGUCAAGUCGAGGUAGGCGGAAUUGACGGUGUAGCGGUGAAAUGCUUAGAUAUCGUCAAGAACACCAAUAGUGAAGACAGCUUACUGGGCUUAAACUGACGCUGAGGCACGAAAGUGUGGGGAUCAAACAGG